GACGAACGCUGGAGGCGUGCUUAACACAUGCAAGUCGAACGAUGAAAUGGAGCUUGCUCCAUGGAUUAGUGGCGAACGGGUGAGUAACACGUGAAUAACCUGCCCUUAAUUUUGGAAUAACCCAGGGAAACCUGGGCUAAUACCGGAUAAGUAAGCCUGUGGCAUCACAUGGUUUUGGAAAGUUUUUCGAUUAAGGAUGGAUUCGCGGCCUAUCAGCUUGUUGGUGAGGUAAUGGCUCACCAAGGCGACGACGGGUAGCCGGCCUGAGAGGGUGAACGGCCACACUGGGACUGAGACACGGCCCAGACUCCUACGGGAGGCAGCAGUGGGGAAUAUUGCGCAAUGGACGAAAGUCUGACGCAGCGACGCCUCGUGAGGGACGAAGGUCUUCGGAUUGUAAACCUCUUUCAGCAGGGACGAAGCGAAAGUGACGGUACCUGCAGAAGAAGCACCGGCUAACUAUGUGCCAGCAGCCGCCGCGG
rnacentral:rRNA from 1 species